AGAGCAGACCAGAAGUAACCCCACACUCCAUCAUCUUCUCUAUUUUCUACUAUACUUAUUUAGAACCUUCUACUAUAAAUGUUGUGCAUCCAACCAAACCUCCCCCCACCAACAUUCUACUCUUCACCUUCUCUCUCUAUCUCUCUGUUUCACACCAACGAAAUGCACACUAAAAUUCUUCUUCCUUCUUGCAUCUUACUUGUGCUUUUGUCCUCACUACCAUCUUUCAAUGUUGUUGUGGCUGGAGAUGGAGAAAGUCUUGGUGAAUCUGGGAACCCAUUUACACCAAAAGGCUAUCUAAUUAGGUACUGGAAGAAACAAAUCUCAAAUGACUUACCAAAGCCAUGGUUCCUUCUCAACAAGGCAUCCCCAUUGAGUGCUGCACAAUAUGCAAAAUACUCAAAACUUGCUGCAGAUCAAAAUGCACUCACCACACAACUUCACUCCUUUUGCUCUUCAGCAAAUCUCAUGUGUGCGCCUGAUUUGUUACCAAGUCUUGAAAAACAUGGAGAGGUCCAUUUUACCACUUACAAUGACAAGAACUUCACCAAUUAUGCCACCAACUUACCUGGUCUUGGAUCCAAUACAUUCAAGAACUACUCUGAUGGACAAAACAUCCCUGUUAAUUCUUUCAGGCGUUAUGGUAGAGGUUCCCCCCGUGACAAUGAAUUCAACAACUAUGCCCCUGAUGGUAAUGUAAUUGACCAAAGUUUCAACACCUAUAGCACAAGUUCAGCAGGGGGUUCAGGCCAAUUCGCAAACUAUGCCAAAAAUGUCAAUGUCCCAAAUGUGCGUUUCACUUCCUACUCAGACCAAGGAGUCGGUGCUGACCAAGUGUUCAAGUCUUACUCACAACAAGCAAAUGCUGGUGACCAAUCUUUCAAAAGCUAUGGCAAAAAUGGGAACGGUGCUGAUAGUAAUUUUACAAGCUAUGGUACUGACUCAAAUGUUAUAGGCUCAACAUUUACAAACUAUGGUCAGUCAGCAAAUGGGGAGAAUCAAAAUUUCACAUCUUAUGGUACCAAUGGCAAUGUUCCUGUAAACAAUUUCAAGAACUAUGGUGUUGGAGGUAAUGGUCCAUCUGAGACUUUUACUAGCUAUAGAGAUCAAUCGAAUGUUGGAGAUGACACGUUCACUACGUAUGUUAAAGAUGCAAAUGGCGGUGAAGCAAAUUUCACCAACUAUGGUCAAUCAUUCAAUGAAGGUACUGAUGUAUUUACUACUUAUGGUAAAGGGGCUAAUGACCCACAUAUUAAUUUCAAGACUUAUGGAGUUAACAACACUUUCAAAGAUUAUGUCAAAGAUACUGCCACAUUUUCCAAUUAUCAUAACAAAACUUCCCAAGUUUUGGCUUCGUUGACCGAAGUCAACGGUGGCAAAAAGGUCAAUAACCCGUGGGUUGAGCCUGGAAAGUUUUUCCGGGAGAAGAUGUUGAAGAGUGGUACAGUCAUGCCUAUGCCAGAUAUAAGAGAUAAGAUGCCUAAAAGGUCGUUUUUGCCCCGGGUGAUUGCUUCGAAACUACCCUUUUCGACCUCGAAGAUUAGUGAGCUGAAGAAAAUCUUCCACGCGGCCGACGAUUCUCAGGUGGCAAAGAUGAUUGGCGAUGCUCUCAGCGAGUGUGAAAGAGCACCGAGCGCCGGUGAGACGAAACGGUGUGUUAACUCAGCUGAAGAUAUGAUUGAUUUAGCAACUUCAAUGUUGGGCCGAAACAUUGUGGUUCGGACAACUGAGAACACAGAAGGGUCAAAGGGUAACAUCAUGAUCGGAUCAGUCAAAGGAAUCAACGGUGGAAAAGUUACCAAAUCAGUGUCAUGUCAUCAGAGCUUGUUCCCUUACUUACUCUAUUAUUGUCAUUCCGUUCCUAAGGUCCGGGUCUACGAAGUGGAUAUUUUGGACCCGAAUUCAAAGGCUAAGAUCAAUCAUGGUGUUGCCAUUUGCCACGUGGAUACUUCUUCAUGGGGACCCAGUCACGGAGCCUUCAUUGCACUCGGGUCGGGACCCGGGAAAAUUGAAGUUUGUCAUUGGAUCUUUGAAAACGAUAUGACUUGGGCAAUUGCUGAUUGAGCCGAGAGAAAAAAAAAUAGUUGUGCAAAGUUUGUGCUUCGGGUCGAAUCAGGUACUACGAUAUUACAGUAGGAAUAAUAGCAAUAUCCAAAGCUGAAGUGAUGCAAGUGCCAAGCCCUCAAGGCCUUUCACCCAAAGUCAAGCUAAGGAACUUCAACAACUCCAAGCCAUGUUCAUGCACUUGGAGGUUUGUGAGGGUGUUAUGCAUUCGGUCAAGGGAGGAAAUGCCUUGAUUUGUGAAGAUGAGCUUUGAAGGGUCUACAUUCUACAAGGGGCAAGUUGGACUUUGCACUUUACAUUCCAACAUCCAAGAGGCGCCUCCUCUUCUUUAAUUCAUUAAGGGCAUUUUUUUACUUUUGUUAUGUAAUAGUAUAAAUAGACAAUUUCACUUCUCUUUUCACUAGUUUUGAAGAAUAUUGAAAGAUUAAUCUUAGUUUGUAGUUUAUAGUCUUCUAGUUUAGCAUAGAAUCCGAAACUUUGAGUGUUGAAUGAAAUUGAAGGGUUUUUCACUUGUAUUGAACAUUUGACAAGAAAGGUGUGAUUGAGGGAGUGUGAAUUCCUUUGGUUCACCUAAGAGUAAGGUUUGAACUUACAUUGGUAAGGUGUGAUUGAGUAUUUGGAACAUAUUCUUUUGCUAAUCAUUGGUGGAAGUGAGUGUU